UUAAACCACAUUGGAGCCCUUCCAAUCUUGUCUGACUUUGGAAGCUAAGCAAGUUUGGGCCUGAUCUGGUACUUGGAUUGUAGACUACCAGAUAAUACAGGGAAC
rnacentral:rRNA from 1 species